rnacentral:rRNA from 1 species
UACGUAGGGGGCAAGCGUUGUCCGGAAUCACUGGGCGUAAAGGGUGCGUAGGCGGGUCUUUUAAGUCAGGGGUGAAAUCCUGGAGCUCAACUCCAGAACUGCCUUUGAUACUGAAGAUCUUGAGUUCGGGAGAGGUGAGUGGAACUGCGAGUGUAGAGGUGAAAUUCGUAGAUAUUCGCAAGAACACCAGUGGCGAAGGCGGCUCACUGGCCCGAUACUGACGCUGAGGCACGAAAGCGUGGGGAGCAAACAGG